GGUCUUAUAGCUCAGUUGGUUAGAGCAGCGGACUCAUAACCCGCUGGUCCCUGGUUCGAGUCCAGGUGGGACCACCA
rnacentral:tRNA from 1 species